AGAUCUAGCUUGCUAGAUGCUGACGAGCGGCGGACGGGUGAGUAAUGCAUAGGAAUCUGCCCUGUAGUGGGGGAUAACCUGGGGAAACCCAGGCUAAUACCGCAUACGUCCUACGGGAGAAAGGGGGCUUUGGCUCCCGCUACGGGAUGAGCCUAUGUCGGAUUAGCUAGUUGGUGAGGUAACGGCUCACCAAGGCGACGAUCCGUAGCUGGUCUGAGAGGAUGAUCAGCCACAUCGGGACUGANACACGGCCCGAACUCCUACGGGAGGCAGCAGUGGGGAAUAUUGGACAAUGGGGGGAACCCUGAUCCAGCCAUGCCGCGUGUGUGAAGAAGGCCUUCGGGUUGUAAAGCACUUUCAGCGAGGAAGAACGCCUAGUGGUUAAUACCCAUUAGGAAAGACAUCACUCGCAGAAGAAGCACCGGCUAACUCCGUGCCAGCAGCCGCGGUAAUACGGAGGGUGCAAGCGUUAAUCGGAAUUACUGGGCGUAAAGCGCGCGUAGGUGGCUUGAUAAGCCGGUUGUGAAAGCCCCGGGCUCAACCUGGGAACG
rnacentral:rRNA from 1 species